GCAGGCCUAAUACAUGCAAGUCGAACGGUAAGGUCCCGCUUGCGGGAUACACGAGUGGCGCACGGGUGAGUAACGCGUAUGCAACCUACCUUUAACUGAAGAAUAGCCCCGAGAAAUCGGGAUUAAUACUUCAUAAUAAUAUAAAACGACAUCGUUUAAUAUUUAAAGCUCCGGCGGUUUAAGAUGGGCAUGCGGGACAUUAGAUAGUUGGUGAGGUAACGGCUCACCAAGUCAGCGAUGUCUAGGGGUUCUGAGAGGAUUAUCCCCCACACUGGUACUGAGACACGGACCAGACUCCUACGGGAGGCAGCAGUAAGGAAUAUUGGUCAAUGGACGAAAGUCUGAACCAGCCAUGCCGCGUGCAGGAUGACAGCCCUAUGGGUCGUAAACUGCUUUUAUAUGGGAAAGAAACUUUCACUCGUGAGUGGAACUGACGGUACCAUACGAAUAAGGAUCGGCUAACUCCGUGCCAGCAGCCGCGGUAAUACGGAGGAUCCAAGCGUUAUCCGGAUUCAUUGGGUUUAAAGGGUGCGCAGGCGGGCUAAUAAGUCAGUGGUGAAAUCUCUCGGCUCAACCGAGAAACUGCCAUUGAAACUGUUAGUCUUGAGUACAGUUGUAGUGGGCGGAAUAUAGCAUGUAGCGGGGAAAUGCUUAGAUAUGCUAUAGAACACCGAUCGCGAAGGCAGCUCACUAAGCUGUAACUGACUCUCAGGCACGAAAGCGUGGGGAGCGAACAGGAUUAGAUACCCUGGUAGUCCACGCCGUAAACUAUGGAUACUCGUUGUUGGCGAUAUACUGUCAGUGACCAAGCGAAAGCGUUAAGUAUCCCACCUGGGAAGUACGACCGCAAGGUUGAAACUCAAAGGAAUUGACGGGGGUCCGCACAAGCGGUGGAGUAUGUGGUUUAAUUCGAUGAUACGCGAGGAACCUUACCUGGGCUAGAAUGUGAGCGCAAUCCCCAGAGAUGGGGAGUUCUUCGGACGUGAAACAAGGUGCUGCAUGGCUGUCGUCAGCUCGUGCCGUGAGGUGUUGGGUUAAGUCCCGCAACGAGCGCAACCCCUAUUCUUAGUUGCCAGCAUGUAAUGAUGGGGACUCUAAGAAGACUGCCUACGCAAGUAGAGAGGAAGGAGGGGACGACGUCAAGUCAUCAUGGCCCUUACGCCCAGGGCUACACACGUGCUACAAUGGCGCAUACAGAGGGUAGCCAACUGGUAACAGUGAGCCAAUCUCUAAAAGUGCGUCUCAGUUCGGAUUGGGGUCUGCAACUCGACCCCAUGAAGCUGGAAUCGCUAGUAAUCGCGCAUCAGCAAUGGCGCGGUGAAUACGUUCCCGGACCUUGUACACACCGCCCGUCAAGCCA
rnacentral:rRNA from 1 species